rnacentral:lncRNA from 1 species
UGUAUGAUGUGGCCGUGUCCAAGAAAAAGAGACACAAAAGACCUAAUGACCGAAGUAUUCGUGCUCGUUUUAUUAAGGAUGAUCCUUGUCCUUCUUCUUUUUCUUUCCAGCAACUCAAAAAAUGUGCAAUAGCUAACAUACGAAAGCCAGAUUUGUUUUAUUUUGGAACCGAUGACUUAAUCUAAAUAGUCAGAAUAUAACAAUAUUGCCAGCA